UCCCCUCACGUUGCUCUGCCUUGUGCUCUGGUGGCAAGCCUCCCUGACAAAAAUCAAAGAGCUGCGGGUGCCACAAGGGUGAACUCUGUGAUCUCAGCCCCCUAAAGAGAAGUGUCCCCAGAGAGAGGUUCAGUCCAUGUCAGUCACAUCUUCAUUCCUCUGAGAGAUGGGAAGCAAGCGCCUGUUUGAACACUUUUAUCGAGAGGUUAAGCAGGAAUGCACAUUUUCUGGAGCGGCUUGACUUCCGUGAGCUCCCUAAAGCCUGGAAGUAUCUUACUCGAUUGCAACCGUGCUUGGGAUUUUCCAGAUCAUCAGUGGAAAUGAGUGAAGGUGCACGGAGGACAUAGAAGCUCCCAGGUAACAGUUCACAACUGAAAGAAGUCAGGGCAAGAACUUAAGGCAGGAGCCUGAAUGUAGGGACAGAAGCAGAGACCAUGGAGGAUGAUGCUCAGCGGUUUCAGAUGUACCAAGGUGAUGACUAAUGCUAACUACGACAGUGCCCAGCAUCUUUCCCUUGGAACCAUCUAGGAACCAACCGCUCCAAUACUACUUGUGACUACACACGUUGUUUUGGUCCAAGAUGUCUGCUUAUCUGGGUAUUUGUCAUUAAUCUCUUUAUUUACUAAUAAAUGUACAUUUUCUAUAAAUUUU